ACGGGAGGCAGCAGUGGGGGAUAUUGGACAAUGGAGGAAGCUCUGAUGCAGCGACGCCGCGUGAGUGAAGAAGUAUUUCGGUAUGUAAAGCUCUAUCAGCAGGGAAGAUAAUGACGGUACCUGACUAAGAAGCCCCGGCUAACUACGUGCCAGCAGCCGCGGUAAUACGUAGGGGGCAAGCGUUAUCCGGAUUUACUGGGUGUAAAGGGAGCGUAGGUGGUUUGGCAAGUCAGAAGUGAAAUGCAGGGGCUCAACUCCUGAACUGCUUUUGAAACUGUCAGACUAGAGUGCUGGAGAGGUAAGUGGAAUUCCUAGUGUAGCGGUGAAAUGCGUAGAUAUUAGGAGGAACACCAGUGGCGAAGGCGGCUUACUGGACAGUAACUGACACUAAUGCUCGAAAGCGUGGGGAGCAAACAGGAUUAGAUACCCUGGUA
rnacentral:rRNA from 1 species